GACGAACGCUGGCGGCGUGCUUAACACAUGCAAGUCGAACGGUAAGGCCCUUCGGGGUACACGAGUGGCGAACGGGUGAGUAACACGUGGGUGAUCUGCCCUGCACUGCGGGCUAAGCCUGGGGAACUGGGGCUAAUACCGGAUAGGGCCACUGCCUGGAUGGGGGGUGGGGGAAAGCUCUUGCGGUGUGGGAUGGGCCCGCGGCCUAUCGGCUUGUUGGUGGGGUGAUGGCCUACCCAGGCGACGACGGGUAGCCGGCCUGAGAGGGUGACCGGCCACACUGGGACUGAGAUACGGCCCAGACUCCUACGGGAGGCAGCAGUGGGGAAUAUUGCGCAAUGGGCGCAAGCCUGAUGCAGCGACGCCGCGUGAGGGAUGACGGCCUUCGGGUUGUAAACCUCUUUCAGCACCGACGAAGCGCAAGUGACGGUAGGUGCAGAAGAAGGACCGGCCAACUACGUGCCAGCAGCCGCCGUAAUAC
rnacentral:rRNA from 1 species